AACGAACGCUGGCGGCAGGCCUAACACAUGCAAGUCGAGCGCGCCCUUCGGGGUGAGCGGCGGACGGGUGAGUAACGCGUGGGAACGUGCCCUUUUCUACGGAAUAGCCUCGGGAAACUGAGAGUAAUACCGUAUACGCCCUUUGGGGGAAAGAUUUAUCGGAAAAGGAUCGGCCCGCGUUGGAUUAGGUAGUUGGUGGGGUAAUGGCCUACCAAGCCGACGAUCCAUAGCUGGUGUGAGAGGAUGAUCAGCCACACUGGGACUGAGACACGGCCCAGACUCCUACGGGAGGCAGCAGUGGGGAAUCUUAGACAAUGGGGGCAACCCUGAUCGAGCCAUGCCGCGUGAGUGAUGAAGGCCUUAGGGUUGUAAAGCUCUUUCAGCUGGGAAGAUAAUGACGGUACCAGCAGAAGAAGCCCCGGCUAACUCCGUG
rnacentral:rRNA from 1 species